rnacentral:rRNA from 1 species
GAGGGAAACCGAGUCUUAACCGGGCGUUAAGUUGCAGGGUAUAGACCCGAAACCCGGUGAUCUAGCCAUGGGCAGGUUGAAGGUUGGGUAACACUAACUGGAGGACCGAACCGACUAAUGUUGAAAAAUUAGCGGAUGACCUGUGGCUGGGGGUGAAAGGCCAAUCAAACCGGGAGAUAGCUGGUUCUCCCCGAAAGCUAUUUAGGUAGCGCCUCGUGAAUUCAUCUCCGGGGGUAGAGCACUGUUUCGGCUAGGGGGCCAUCCCGGCUUACCAACCCGAUGCAAACUGCGAAUACCGGAGAAUGUUAUCACGGGAGACACACGGCGGGUGCUAACGUCCGUCGUGAAGAGGGAAACAACCCAGACCGCCAGCUAAGGUCCCAAAGUCAUGGUUAAGUGGGAAACGAUGUGGGAAGGCCCAGACAGCCAGGAUGUUGGCUUAGAAGCAGCCAUCAUUUAAAGAAAGCGUAAUAGCUCACUGGUCGAGUCGGCCUGCGCGGAAGAUGUAACGGGGCUAAACCAU